rnacentral:rRNA from 1 species
GAUGAACGCUGGCGGCGUGCUUAACACAUGCAAGUCGAACGGAAAGGCCCUACUUUUGUGGGGUGCUCGAGUGGCGAACGGGUGAGUAACACGUGAGUAACCUGCCCUUGACUUUGGGAUAACUUCAGGAAACUGGGGCUAAUACCGGAUAGGAGCUCCUGCUGCAUUGUGGGGGGUGGAAAGUUUCGGCGGGUGGGGAUGGACUCGCCGCUUAUCUGCUUGUUGGUGGGGUGGUGGGCUACCAAGGCGUUGGCGGGUAGCCGGCCUGGGGGGGAGGACCGGCACCAUUGGGCCUAGGUUAGGGCCCAGCUUCCAAGGGGGGCCAGAGGGGGGAAUAUUGCCCCAAUGGGCCGAGCCCGGUUCAGCCACCGCGCGGGGCGGAUUGCCGGCUUUCGGGUUGAAACCCGCUUCCGCCUGUGCCGAAGCGUUUGUGACGGUACUGGGUGAAGAAGCACCGGCUAACUACGUG